CUGGAGUCCUCUUUCGGCCGCCGAAGGUGACUGAUUUUUGGCUUCCGAAAGUUGCCUCCGAAGGUUGCUUCUCUAGUUUUGGCUUCUUUUGGCAUUUUUAAGAGCAUUUUCUCCAAAUUGUUUCUUCACACCUAAUACUUGCAAAACAUGAUUAAAACCACAAAAUUAGGUAGAAUAGGUACAAAUAAACAUCAGUAAGAUCAUGAAAAUAUGGGCUAAAAUAUGCUCUAUCA
rnacentral:lncRNA from 1 species